rnacentral:lncRNA from 1 species
GGAAGAAGCUUCUACCUAAACCAAACCUUGGGAAUAAAGCUUGAUUCAAUAACUCACCUAUUUGCUAACUGCUUGAGUUGAAUCACGGACAUUCAUUCUACAUUAAUUCAACACCUGCCAUGGGUAAGAGACUGUUCCAGAAUACACUUGGCCAGCAUUUGGUUACAAGCCACUGUGUUCUACUGAAAUGUCUGUAUUGUUGGAGAGCAACUCCACUAUCUCAAUCAUCUAUUUUACAAAUUGUCAACAAUCAAAUUUAAAAUCUAGGUGAUGACACCAGGAUGACUUCUCCCACCUUCCAGUCGAUUAGUAUCUAGAGAAUGUCAGAUUAUAAAUCAAGCCUGAAAAUGUCAGUCUGCUUGGGCAAUUUAAAGCGCACACCGUGCAGUUAAAAAUGAAAGAUAAAUUUUUUUUGACAACCUAGUAUGUGCCUCAUCUC